rnacentral:rRNA from 1 species
AUGCCGGUGGUAGAGCUUCCCAGCUGCAUCGCUCUGUGCUCGCAGAGUAAUGGCUCCUACCUGCGCUAUGUGCACGAGCAUGGUGAGAGCUUCAGGCAACUGCAGCUCAACGGCAAGGACGCCAUUAACCCCUACACCAGGUACGACGUCGAGGUAUCGCGGGGCCAUAACGGCAGCGGCCUGGUGCACAUCCGAUGCCGCUACAACCGUAAGUACUGGGUGGCUCGUCAGCGGGGCGACGCCUGGUGUAUCGCCGCCGACGCAGAUGAGCCGGAAGAAGACCUGACCAACCCCAAUUGCACUCUGAUUAAACCAAUCAUUGUCACCACCACUGAUGACAGUGGUGAAUCCGUGAUGACCGUUCGGUUCGUCGCCGCCGGCGACGACGAGGUGACGCGGCGGCGCAUGACCUUCGCCAAGGACGACGCCUCUCCAUGCAUGCUCGUGGUGGACGGCGAGCUUGACCACCACGACAGCGCGGGGGACGCGUUCACCGUCCUCAACCUGGAGAACAGCGCCAGGCUGCUCCCCAGCUUUGUCAUGUUCAAGGGCAACAACGGCAUGUUCCUGGCCCCCCGACGGAUAAACAACCGGAACCUCCUCCAGUUCGCGGUGUCCGACAUCGGCGACUUAACCGCUAUGUUCCAUCUCUCCCACAUGAACAACGGCACCGUCCUCAUCGCCCCCGCCGAUCUCAACAGCUCCGCAUCCUACUGGAACCUCGAGAACGGCAACUGGAUCGAGACCAACAUGUCCUUUAGCAACGCCGCCGCCAACACCAGCGCGUGGUUCUGGAUAUACCAGGUGAAGGACAGGUUCGCUAUCCUCAACGGCCGGAGCAAUCGCUUCUGCAAGAGGUUGUCGAUGGGAAACAUCAACAACUGCCUCAACGCGGUCGACCCGACCAUCAUGGCCGAGGCACUCAUCGCAGUGGAGGAGCCCAUCCUCCACCGGGAGAUCCACAGCAUCAGCUACAGGCUGAUGGAGGCCAGGGUGUACGACACCACCAUGCUCACCAUGGCCACCACGGCGGCGGUCAACGACACCUCCACAGAGAACACCAAGAGGCUGCGGCUGGUGUACGAGGAGGAGGAGAUGAGCACCUGGGACACCACUCUCGAGCUCAAGCUCGGGUAUAAGUCCACCAUUAGAGCAGGGUUCCCCAAGCUCGGCCUCGGCGCUCGGGUCAGCAUCUCAGCCGAGUUCUACGGGGCCUACAACUGGGGCGAAACCAUGGAGAAGAAGGUGAGGCAUGAGGUCGUCUAUGAGGCCGCAGUGCCGCCCAGGACCAAGGUCACCGUCAAGGCCGUCGCCGCCAGGAGCGCCGUCACCGUCCCGUUCAACUACCGCCAGGUGGACGUCACCACGGAUGGGAGGGUGAGGAGCAGCAUCAAGAGGGACGGCCUCUACACCGGAAUCAACAGUUACGACUUCAAUUUCGAGACCGUUGAGGAGAAGCUGCCGGAGAGGAACCCGAGCGCUUGA